AUUCGGCCGUCUUCUCACCAACAACGGCGGCGCGCAGCUUUCCAACCACGUCCGAGCCGGCUCUCUGUCAUGUGCAAAGCCGAAGAUUUGCGUUAAUCGGGGUAUGUUAGUCAACAAACUUAUUAUUCGAUUAAUUGUCAUAAUUUUCCGGCGACGGAGAGGCUCAGAUCCGGCGAGUGGCAGCGCAUGAGAAUUGCGACGGACUUAUUUUAUUGGAUCCGAUAGCAGGGGCUUUGAUAUAUAAUUUUUGUUGUAAGUGUACAUACCUACGACGGUAUAUGAAAAGAGCUGCGGCCAUGAAUGGCCAAUUUCAGG
rnacentral:misc_RNA from 1 species